rnacentral:rRNA from 1 species
AUUGAACGCUGGCGGCAGGCUUAACACAUGCAAGUCGAGCGGAGAUGAGGUGCUUGCACCUUAUCUUAGCGGCGGACGGGUGAGUAAUGCUCAGGAAUCUGCCUAUUAGUGGGGGACAACAUUCCGAAAGGAAUGCUAAUACCGCAUACGUCCUACGGGAGGAAGCAGGGGAUCUUCGGACAUUGCGCUAAUAGAUGAGCCUAAGUCGGAUUAGCUAGUUGGUGGGGUAAAGGCCUACCAAGGCGACGAUCUGUAGCGGGUCUGAGAGGAUGAUCCGCCACACUGGGACUGAGACACGGCCCAGACUCCUACGGGAGGCAGCAGUGGGGAAUAUUGGACAAUGGGGGGAACCCUGAUCCAGCCAUGCCGCGUGUGUGAAGAAGGCCUUAUGGUUGUAAAGCACUUUAAGCGAGGAGGAGGCUACUGAGACUAAUACUCUUGGAUAGUGGACGUUACUCGCAGAAUAAGCACCGGCUAACUCUGUGCCAGCCGCCGCAGUAAAAC